UACAGAGGUCCCGAGCGUUGUUCGGAUUCACUGGGCGUAAAGGGUGCGUAGGUGGCGAGGUAAGUCGGAUGUGAAAGCUCGGAGCUCAACUCCGAAAUGGCAUUGGAAACUACCUUGCUCGAGGGUUGGAGGGGGGACUGGAAUUCUCGGUGUAGCAGUGAAAUGCGCAGAUAUCAGGAAGAACACCCGUGGCGAAGGCGGUUCUCUGGGACGGUACUGACGCUGAGACGCGAAAGCGUGGGGAGCGAACAGG
rnacentral:rRNA from 1 species